GACGAACGCUGGCGGCGUGCUUAACACAUGCAAGUCGAACGAGUGGCGAACGGGUGAGUAAUACGUGAGUAACCUGCCCUCUUUUUGGGAUAAGCCUUGGAAACGGGGUCUAAUACCGGAUCAAGGGGGAUGGGCUCGCGGCCUAUCAGCUUGUUGGUGGGGUGAUGGCCUACCAAGGCGGUGACGGGUAGGCGGCCUGAGAGGGUGACCGGCGACGUGGGGACUGAGAUACGGCCCAGACGCGUACGGGAGGCAGCAGUGGGGGAGAUGGCAGAAUGGGCGAAAGCCGGAUGCAGCGACGCCGCGGGGGGGAUGAAGGCUUUCGGGUUGUAAACCUCGUGAGCUAUCGAAGGGGUAGGUGGAGAAGAAGCGCCGGCUAACUACGUGCCAGCCGCCGCGGUAAUUC
rnacentral:rRNA from 1 species